UCUCCGUAGGUGAACCUGCGGAGGGAUCAUUACUGAGUGAGGGCCUUCGGGCUCGACCUCCAACCCUUUGUGAAUCGUACUCGUUGCUUCGGGGGCGACCCUGCCGGCACUCUGUCGCCGGGCGCCCCCGAAGGUCUCCAAACACUGCAUCUUUGCGUCGGAGUUUAAAACAAAUUAAACAAAACUUUCAACAACGGAUCUCUUGGUUCUGGCAUCGAUGAAGAACGCAGC
rnacentral:misc_RNA from 1 species